rnacentral:rRNA from 1 species
GUGCCAGCAGCCGCGGUAAUACGUAGGUCCCGAGCGUUGUCCGGAUUUAUUGGGCGUAAAGCGAGCGCAGGCGGUUAGAUAAGUCUGAAGUUAAAGGCUGUGGCUUAACCAUAGUACGCUUUGGAAACUGUUUAACUUGAGUGCAGAAGGGGAGAGUGGAAUUCCAUGUGUAGCGGUGAAAUGCGUAGAUAUAUGGAGGAACACCGGUGGCGAAAGCGGCUCUCUGGUCUGUAACUGACGCUGAGGCUCGAAAGCGUGGGGAGCGAACAGGAUUAGAUACCCUGGUAGUCCACGCCGUAAACGAUGAGUGCUAGGUGUUAGGCCCUUUCCGGGGCUUAGUGCCGCAGCUAACGCAUUAAGCACUCCGCCUGGGGAGUACGACCGCAAGGUUGAAACUCAAAGGAAUUGACGG